UAAUACAGAGACUGCAAGCGUUAUUCGGAUUCACUGGGCGUAAAGGGUGCGCAGGCGGUCGCGUGUGUCAGGUGUGAAAGCCCGGAGCUUAACUCCGGAAUUGCGCCUGAAACUACGUGACUAGAGCAUUGGAGAGGGUAGCGGAAUUCACGGUGUAGCAGUGAAAUGCGUAGAUAUCGUGAGGAACACCAGAGGCGAAGGCGGCUACCUGGACAAUUGCUGACGCUCAGGCACGAAAGCGUGGGGAGCAAAAGGG
rnacentral:rRNA from 1 species